UACAGAGACUGCAAGCGUUAUUCGGAUUCACUGGGCGUAAAGGGUGCGCAGGCGGCCAAGUGUGUUAGGCGUGAAAGCCUGAGGCUUAACCUCAGAAUUGCACCUAAAACUACAUGGCUAGAGCAUUGGAGAGGGUAGCGGAAUUCACGGUGUAGCAGUGAAAUGCGUAGAUAUCGUGAGGAACACCAGAGGCGAAGGCGGCUACCUAGACAAUUGCUGACGCUCAGGCACGAAAAGCGUGGGGAGCAAAAAGGG
rnacentral:rRNA from 1 species